rnacentral:lncRNA from 1 species
CCCCACUUGUCCCAUGAGCUAAAUAAGAACUACUCCCAGAUGAAUGGACAGUGCCUAUCCAUGGCUACACAGAGAAAAGAGCAACAUGAACCAUAUAAUGUUGGACUUGCAGAAAUUAUAAUCUUUUAAAUCUAAAGCAAGAAUGAAUUGUCUCCAUAAUGUCGCACAGAAGCAGAGCAGUCUGCCCAUAAGGUAGCACGUGUUUUACAGCCCGCUGAAUUUCAAAUGCCAGGGUUAAUUUUAAGAGUUACUGGGACUUCUCACAUGCUAAAGUACUUGGCUGAACUGUGACAAGAUGAAAGGAGGUUAAAGUAAUGAGCAGCUUGAGGGUGUAUAUUUGUUUUAGUCAGAGAAGUUUUAUCAUUGACUUUAAUGGGGCCAGGCCUGCGUACCCCAAAUUAAAGUGAGUUAGGUAUUUGCAUACAUUAUAGGCUAAUAAGCCACUUUCCAAGUGUAACUGUACAUAAGAAGCAUCUGCAGUACCACAGCACCACCAGACUAAUUGCUACAUCUUUAGCAGAUUAUGAUGGUUUAUCAUUUUACAUGUUUCUGCUCCAGCAGAGAUCUGUAUGCCUUACAUUAGUCUGAUAAGCUCAAUUUUAGGUAUAUUGUUUUCAGCUGUGGCAACAGCUGAACUGACAACCAGUAAACUAAAGGCAUGGGGGUUUUGUUUGGGGUUUUUUUCCCCUUUUUUUUCCUUCUGUUUCAGUCAUUCCUUUAAUUUAUUUAUUUAUACCUAUUUUACAGCUUUGUUCAAAUUUGUAUCUGUGGCAAGUUUACAGCACACUGUGCUUAACACUGUAAAGCCAGACUGUUCUCUCGUAUUUACUAAAGCUUUCCACAUUAUGCAUGUUGUGUUUUAUUUCACUGUUUGGAGGACAUUUUAUAAAAUCAGCAGCUAGACGGAAGGAAAUCAUUUGCAUACUUGGUUCCAUACACCUGGAAUUCCUUAAUUUCAGGGAUUAACAAAAUGAGUCUAAUAAAAAGCAUAGGGCCUUGUUAAUCAGCUCUGUAAACUCCCUUCAUUAGCUGUUACUUGCUGCCAACAUGAGUGCACAUUUCAGGAAAUUUACAUUGUGCAGGUCAGUUAUUACAAUUUUAUGAACUGAUUUCUAAUUUUAUGUGACACAGUUUGUGUUUUUAGUGUUCCUAAAAGUUAAAUAACAUUUUUUUAAAGUCCUGAAUAGUGUGUGCCCUUGUGCAGUCUCAUUCAUGACACUUUCCAUACAUUAGGUCCAUAAUAACAUCAGUUUACUGAAACUGACAAUACAAUAUAGUGUCAAUAAUAUGAACAGAUGCUUUGUAUUGGAGUUGGUGUGGAAAACUUUCCUUCAGACUAUAAAGUAUGGGUUAUAAACACCUGUAGUUUUGUCAUUGUUUGUUCAUUUUUUAAAACCUAAGCAGGAAAAGAUUUCUAAACUUAUUAUGAAAUCCAGUAAUCACAAUCACUUUCUCUUACUAGAUCCUGCUAGAGUAAGUACAGCUCAAGUUUUCAUUGUAGUUACUACUUGUUCACAUAUUGAAGGCCUGAUCUGAGUCUACUGAAACAUUUGGAGACGUUCUCCCAACAGAUUUCAACUGGCUUCCAGCAGGUCCUUGAUUUCAAGGAAUAUUUGGAAACCUGAUAUUUCCUUUUCUAAUAAAACAAUGAGAAUCUUAAAUAUAUUGAUGCUAUGCUUGUUGUAAUUAAAUUCCUCCUUCCUUCUUCUCAAUUCUUUCUACCUCAAAAAUAAGAUUUUUUGGGGUUUUAUCUGUUGAAUUUGAUACCUACCCUUCAAGGCUGGAAAUCUGUUCUAGUUAUGUAGCAGCCAUGAAACAGAAGUUUUUAAAUACAUUAACUUCUUCCUUCCUGCUGGAUUCUGUUUGGACUUUGAACAGACACUGUCCAGACAUGCUGACUUCACAAAUGUUACUUGACUUCAAGUUAAUGUCCUUCAUUUUAGAGCAAAGCAAGUUUAACAAGUGAGGGGAAACUGCUCCAUCUCUACAGUGCAAAAAGUGUCCCAAGACCUGGAGCGCUUUGGCCUGGGGGUCUGACACUUCACACAGAAAUGAAUGGUGAAGGCUGAACUAAAGGAAAAGGUGAUUUGUGACUGGGGUGUGCUCAUCUCCUGAUCAACCUCCUGCCCUCUUACCAGAAUGUUAACAUUUUAUCACAUCAAGCACAGAAAAAGUAGCUGAAACAACUUUAUGUGGAACAGAGUUACCUGUGAUUUCUAAAUGUAGCUAGAAUGCAAAAAAACCCAACUUUAAAUAUUUAAAGUAGCAACAGUGGUAAGAUUCUGAUGGAUAUUCUGAGAGCAAGCCAAGAGACUAGCUCCAAAUAAAUUAUUCAUUGUGAAUUAUUCCGUUCACUCUCACAUCGUUACAUAACUCACAGAGGUAUCCUGGCAAUUAAUAGGUGCAAAGAAAUGCAAGAGAUGGGUCAUAUGAUUAAAAUACCAAAUAUUAUUGUUAUAUUCAAUUUUUUUAUGCAUAUACAAACAAACCAGCAGACAAUUUGCCAGAAGCUGAGGUUCAGGGGAAUUUCAUACUGGUUUUGAGAACUGUCAGAGUACAUUCAUAGAGCUUUAUCUUCUGGAAAAAUAAGUAUACUGUGGUGGAUUUAAGUUAAAGCAAUGUGGCAGGUAGACUGAUAACAAAGUUCUCUCAGAGGCUGGCUCUGUCUUAGAUGGCUCUAUUAGAGAAUAAGUUUAAUAUCUUUUUCUCUUUCCCCCCACCUUUUGUGUAAUUUUAGGGUUAUUUGGUGUGUUUUAGGUAGUUCUCAAGACGUGUUAGGGGAAAAAUCUUGAGAAAUUUCUGAAAGUCUUUGGUAAUGAAAGAAGAGGACAAUGACUUUAGCAGAAGCAACUUCAGUUAUUUGAGUGAUUUUUCCCUUCUGGGAUUAAACUUUUUUCAAAAAAUUUAACUUUCUUUUUCUGUUUUUCAAGAGGAUGGAUUUUUUUUUUCCUAGAAACUAAAGAGUAGCUUUUGCAACUCUGUAUUUAGUACUAAGAAAUCAUACCAUGUCAUCUUUCUUAUAGCUGGAGCUUUGACAAACUGACUUUGUUGACUUUUUGUAUGUACUAACACAAUCUAAUUCCUAAACAGUAAAAAUCAGAUAAAAUUACUCAGCACUGAAGCAAUCUAGAUACAUGGAAACACAUACAGAAAUCAGAACAUGUUGCCAUCUCAGAUAAAAUGUAGUGGACUUUCAGAAACCAACAAAAUCCUAACUCUGAGUAAAAUUCAUUGGUAUCUGAACUAAAGUACACACUACAGAGAAGAAACAGCUAUUAGAAAUCCCUGGCAACUGAAAACACACUGUAUAGUGGCUUACCCCAUGAAACGGCUUCAAAACUAGUAUCUAACUUUUUAAAAAUGUAACUAAAUUAAUGGAUUUAGUAUUUUCAGCUACUCAGUGGGAUGAAUAAACUGCUUUAUGUUGAUAAAAAGCAGACUAGAAACUCUACAUCGGGUCUGACCUUGAAAGCACAGUGGUUUUUAAAAUAAUCACAAUAUCCAUGCAGGGCUCAAAUAAGAAGCCCAAACUCUUCACCACAUGUCCUUGUUUUAAGCUGAGGGAUACAUUAACAAUCAGGAGAAAUAUAUUCUCACUAUUCUCCUGUAGAGGACUGUAGAGAUCCAACUUCUCUAGAGGUCAACAGAGGACAUAAAGAAUGGACAGGCUUUUCUCAACUGUUUGCCACCUUAACUGGGAGUGUAUCUAAACCCUCCUUCCCCUUCACAGAGACUGUGUUUACACACUAUCCAUUCUCUCUAAUAUUUUUUUUUUACAAAUGACAAGGUUUCUACACAAUUUUGGGAAAGGCUGGGACAUUUUCAAAAGCAUCUUCAGACACUCCCCUACUCUGCACAUCUAUUAACCAGCCUUGUAAAAAACACUUCAUACACUUCUGGGUGUGUGGUUUAUAUGUUCACAAACCUACAUUUCACCCUUAGCUUCCCUUGAAGACAAGUCCAAAAAUAAAGGAUAAGUAAAAAAAGUUGAGCAAGAAAGGAAGGCAGGCAGCUCCCAAGCUGCCAGUCCCAGCGCAGGGGCUUGGCUGAAGCAGAGGGAGCACACAGCACACUGCUGCUCAUCAGCCUGCUGCUGCUGCAGCUUUGUCUGGUGUCAUUGGGUUGCUGUCCAGCUACAAAAAAAUGCUGCCUAAAGAAGAGCAUAUUGCCAAUGCUGGCUGCCAACCUUAGAGCUAGUGAUAAUCCAAACAGCACAAAGUGCCCAUUAUCAGUUCCUUCUCUGAACAGCCCAUUAAAAACAGCUGUGCAGAUAAAAGAACUGGAGAACUUUGUAGCAGAAAUUAAGCAGAGAGAGAAUGUGGUGGUUAGAGCCAACCACAGCCAUUUAAUUUCUGUGAAAGAAGAGUGGAAAAAAAAGGAAAAAGAAAAAAAGGAUAAGACUCCAAGUUAUGAAUGGGAAAGGAAAGUUGUAUGCCUGCCUAAAGCACUGAAAACCAUUGUGGAAGAGGAUUUCUGAAGACAGGAGGUCUUCAUUAAGAUUUAGGGGCUAAUCCUAGAGAAUCUCAUUGCUCUGAACAGGCAACACAGAUACCAACACCUCAAUGACAGCAGACAAAUGCAGACACUACCUCCUUCCCACACACAUUCCUACAGAGGCACCCAUGCACUUUUCCCCAGAGGAAAAGUCUCUGCUCUGCUGCAGCAGAGUCACUGGGGAACAAACUAAAAUUCUUUCUGCAUCAGCAAAAUGAUUCACAGAAAGUUACAUAAAACUUUGGGUUCUCUGUUUAUCAGGUUGUGCCUCCAAAGAAAUGAGGAAAUAUUGGCAACUACGUGCUUGGAGCCCCUGGAUCAUUUUAUGUCUCAGCCCAGCCAUAAACAGACGCAGUUUGCUCUGCACGAGCCUCAGUUCUGCAGACAAUAGAACUCCCCCUCCUCCGUUCCUGAAAGUGCAUUCAAAUAAUUUCAAAAUAAUUUAUGAGCAUUGCUCUGCUAGAGCAUGUCCUCUAGCACAGCCUGUUGGAGGCACACAGAGGCACUGCAGGCUCACCCAGGCAGUCUCUUACCCAAACCAUCCCUUCACCUGGGAGCUUUUCCCCUGGACGCUGGAAAGGCAAAGGGCAGCUGCCACUGGGAACCAAGCUCCUCAAACAUAUACAGUAUGGCAGGGAGGAGGGGCUGCUGCUGGAGAAAACUUAAUUUGAAGAUAAACUGAUGGCAUAAAGAGUCUCUGAACUCAUUUUAAAGACAAUGGUCAGUUUGGAUUCUCAACUGAGUACAAGUGCUUGUCGUUGGUAUAACUAAAAGCAGGAAAAAAUAUUUUUUAUUAUUAUUUCUUCUAAGUGCUCACAAUUAAUUUUUGAGUUUUCAUUUUUCCCUUGAGGUAUAGGCAACUCUUUAAAAAUUAAAAAGAUAUUUUUUGUCUUACUAGUGAAAGUGUAAAAACUUUUUUUUUUUUUACAGUUCUGACUACCCCCAUUUCAACUAUGUCUGGAUUUGCUCACAAUUUCUUAGGUGUGCAAAACCAACCCCUUUUAAUUCAUAAUGCUAUAUGCAAUUAUAUGAAGAAAAGGUCUAUGUAAAGACGGCUGAAUCCUGAAAAUAUUGUUGCAGUAUUACUUAAUAUCAGUGGCUUAAAUCUGGUCAGAAAUAAUUUUACAAGCUACUUUAGAUAUCUGCAGAGAUUUCUCAUGCUAAUAUUGUAUUGGAAUUUUCCCAAAUUCUUUGAAAGCCUAUCCAUUUUUUCAUGAUAUAGCUGAACUAAAGGACAUAAGGUGGCUCACACAAAAACUUAUACUUUUUUUUUUGCAGAAGAGCAAGUUACUGCAACCUUCCCUGUGUUUAGAACAGAAUGUAAAGCUCCUUUUUGAUUUAGCUUUCCAACAAAAACAAAAAGAAGAGAAUUUAAAAGAAAAAGCAGGAAGAUGUGAAUAAUAAUAAAUAAUCAAAUCCAUCUGUUUCAGAGGGAGCCAGGAGAAGGAACCUAGACCACAGCUCUUCCUACUAACAAAACCUGUGUGCACGCAUUGGAGUGUUAACGUGCCCUGGUGAUGUGUGGUAAUUGUAUACAUAGACACCAAAGCAUUUUUUUCUUCUCACAUCAGGCUUCUCCAUUUUAACCAGAUCUAAAACAUGCACCAUCAGGAACUAUUGCUUUCUCCAUUUUUCAAAGAGCUAAUAGAUACUAAUCAUUGACCUCAGACUUGUCAUACAUCACUAGAAGGAUGUUCUCCAUAAACAACAUGCUGGAGGUCAUGUCAAUGUCCACUUCCACCUCCUUUGAUUUCUGCCCAUCUGCAGCUUGCAGGCCAAAUAAAUCUCGUUAAACAGCAUGUGCACAACUCUCUUAAACAUUCCAGAGAACAAAGACAAAAGAAACAGUAAUGGCCACAGUUAUAUAAAGCUGCAGCAGUAGCAAAAAAAGUCUACGGGUAGCUUGAGUUUCAUAAGCACUGAAAACAUAAUCUAUCAUCAGGCAGCGUGCACACUGCAUGUGACUGCAGCUGGGGCACAGGCAGGCAAUUUCUGAUUUGAUUUGUGGCUCAGUGCUGCAGGAUGGUCUCUGCCAUUCACCUCUCCCUUUGCAUGUCCCCUUUCCCACUCUCUGCUGCACACUCCUACCUCUUCUGCUGGUCUUGGUGCCCUUAUGAGCAGAUUCUGCUGAUAAACUUUCUAAGACUUAUGGAAAACAAAACAAAACAAAACAAACAAACAAAAAAACCCACAAAAAAACCAAAAAAACCCCAAACAAAUAAAAAGAAAAAACAAAAAAAAA